rnacentral:rRNA from 1 species
UACGGAGGGAGCUAGCGUUGUUCGGAAUUACUGGGCGUAAAGCGCACGUAGGCGGCUUUUUAAGUCAGGGGUGAAAUCCCGGGGCUCAACCCCGGAACUGCACUUGAAACUGGAGAGCUAGAAUCUUGGAGAGGCGAGUGGAAUUCCGAGUGUAGAGGUGAAAUUCGUAGAUAUUCGGAAGAACACCAGUGGCGAAGGCGACUCGCUGGACAAGUAUUGACGCUGAGGUGCGAAAGCGUGGGGAGCAAACAGG